UCUUGUGAUGAUUCAAUUUUUGCUUCGGCAAGUUGGAAUUACCGACUGAGAUUCCGAUCUUUGACGAAAACAAUUGGCUGUUUCUGAUA
rnacentral:snoRNA from 1 species